ensembl:lncRNA
AGACGAUUCUUGAGAUUCGCAUUCGAGGCCGUGGCUUACCAAUAUACAGUCCCUCCCUUCGGGCUGUCUCUAGCUCCUCGUACUUUUACGAAGUGCAUGAACGCUGCGCUUUCCCCUCUGAGACAAAUGGGAAUCCAGGUUCUGAAUUAUCUUGACGACUGGCUCAUUCUGGCCCAGUCGCGAACCGACUAGACCAUCACAGAUCCAUGCUCCUCAGCCACUUGGAGUGCCUAGGACUCAGGGUCAAUUUUGCCAAGAGCUCACUGGUCCCCAGCCAACGUAUCACGUUCCUGGGUGCAGUCUUUGACUCAGUCCGAAUGAGGGAUGUAGUCUCGCCAGAGCGCGCCCUGGCAAUUCAGCAGCUCGCGGCUUCUGCCAGGAACAAAGCCUGUUCCCCUCUGAAGUUUUUCCAGAGGAUGCUAGGGCUGAUGGCUUCCGCCUUCCCGAUUUUGCAGCUUGGCCUUCUACGGAUGUGGCCUCUGCAAUACUGGCUGAAACUCCGGGUCCCACUUCACGCUUGGUGGCAUGGCCGCUUUCAAGUCAGGGUCAAUCAGGCCUGUUUGGUUCAGUCACGGAGUACCCCUGCAGGCGGUUUCCAGAACAAUGGUGCUCUCGACAGAUGCGUUCAACUUGGGUUGGGACGUUUUGUGCUGGGGCAAACCAGCCUUCGGCUCGUGGUCACACGAGGAGAGCCAUCUCCACAUCAACUGCAUCGAGAUGUUGGCAGUGGAACGGGCCCUUCACUCCUUCCAGGCGAUCCUGAAGGGUCGCCACGUCCUAGUCCAAUCGGACAGCAUUACGGUGGUGUCCUACAUAAAUCACCAAGGCAGCCUUUCAUCCAGCCGCCUCUGAGCACUGGCAAAGCGCCUCUUGGGAUGAGCAUUACCCAGGCUGUGAGCGCUCAAGGCGAUGCACAUACCUGGCAGAACGAAUCUGGAAUCCUUGGUCUUCCCCGGGGCCUCCUCCCAGUGGGAUGUGCCCAGAACACCUCCCUAGGAAGGCGUCCAGGAGGCAUCCGGAACAGAUGCCCGAGCCACCUCAGCUGGCUCCUCUCGA